UGGUGCCUGGUGGUGGUGGUGUUCGUCGAAUUGGGAGAGAUGAAGAUACAACAUGUCAACAUCAAUUAUAACUAUUGAAAGAUAUAGCUUCCAAUGACUGCUACAAAUUUUCUGAAAAUUGCUAAAGAUUGAGAAGUCUAAUUAGGUCACAUGUGAGACUUUGAUUGAGAGAGGGAGAGAGAGAGAGCAGAGCAGAGCAGAUGAUCGAAAAAAAUCAGAUAGAGAGUAACUAUAAAUCUAAGUUAUAGAUUUUCAUAAGAAUUAAAUCAAACGAAUAAAUUUGUACCUGACAAAAGCUUUGCAGAAGCUAUGGUGAUUGGGGGCGAACAAUUAUUAAGAAAAAUGAGAUCGAUUUGUUUGCUUUGGUGGUUUUUCGGAAAGCUUUAAGUAGGAAGAAUUAAGGU
rnacentral:lncRNA from 1 species